rnacentral:rRNA from 1 species
UACAGAGGUCUCAAGCGUUGUUCGGAUUCAUUGGGCGUAAAGGGUGUGUAGGUGGCGCCGUAAGUCGGGUGUGAAAUUUCGGAGCUUAACUCCGAAACUGCAUUCGAUACUGCGGUGCUUGAGGACUGGAGAGGAGACUGGAAUUCAUGGUGUAGCAGUGAAAUGCGCAGAUAUCAGGAGGAACACCGGUGGCGAAGGCGGAUCUCUGGGCCAUUACUGACGCUGAGGAGCGAAAGCGUGGGGAGCGAACAGG